UCGAAGGACCUCAGCACUCCACCUUUUAUUUAUUUUUAUUUUUUAUUUUUUUCUGUUUCAGAGAAAAGCUUGGUUAUUUGAGGAACAGCAUGUGCCUGGCAUGGCUGCUGGCAUAAAUUAGCAAACCCUGUCUGGGGGUUUCUACAUCACGCCCCUUCUUACAGCAUGCGUUAUGGAUGGAGCUCACUUGUUUUCUAAUGCAACGUAGACUAGAGGAAACCUGUAAAAAAGUCUUCACCACCCUUGGCUCCCAGGUUUGUGUAGUAAUUACUUCAUGGCUGCAGCUCUUGGUAACUGUGUUAGGUGUAAACACAGCUUCUUGUAUGGGUUGCCUGCUUCUCAGCUCGUGCCAGACAGAUCCAGAUUAGGAAGAAGGCAGACAUUUUCCAAUGGUGAAGGCAUUUUUCCAGUGCUUCGCUGGAGCCCUCUAUUGUGUGUGAUGGUGGCUUCCCUGUUUCUUGAUGUCUCUGGCUUGCAACUGGAUGCCCUUUUGGAAGAUACGCCUGGCAAAUAAGUGAGAUUGCAGAUGCUGCAGACAUCCCUUUGGCACUGAUGGCUGCAAAAUGGUAUCGCGUAUAAGGGGCUCUCCUGGGGUAGAGGUGUAGCAUCUAUUUCUGGAGGCACAGAGUAUCAGCAGCGCGCUGCGAUCUGCCUGCCACCAGAGCAGCAGCCGGGGCUCCCUCCCGGCUCGGCGGGGCCGGCAGGACCCACGGGUGCUGGGUCUUCUGCAAGAGGAGGUUGGGCUCGGCGGUGACCUUGUCCCAUUUAUCCGGGUUAUGGAAACCUCUUGGGGACAGCCUUUACCCUGAGACAUCAGUUUUGGUUAAGUCAGGUCAGUGUCACCCUUUUUGUUUAUAAAUGGCGAAGUGGUUAGUGGCAGCCUAUCUGAAAUGGGAGAUGUCAUACUGUAAGAAGUUAAUUUAUUUUGUUAACGUAGCUUGAAUUUACCCAGUAAGUAGAGCAGUGUAGCCUGGCUAUAAAAGCUGUUUCCCCCAUGAGAAUCUUCACUGGUGACAGCGUAUUUCCGGGAGGUAUUUAUGGCAACCCCGGACAUGCAAAGCCCCCGUGGUGGUGUGUUGUAGCAAAUGCAGCAUUGCUGCGGGAGAACGAGUUUCUGCAUAAGGAAAACCCACCACAGCAGAAGACACUCACUGGGUAUCUGGAGAUGAGACUCCCUGCGAGGCCAGCGUGGACGAAGGGGAUUGCUCCAUUUGCACCGACGACGUUGCCGUUUCUUUAGAUGUUGAAGCCUUCAGUCUUUGAGGCUGCCUGUCAGACACCUUUCAUCAGGAGCAAAUUCUCCUGGGCUGGAAUUUGCCUCUGGACAGGGUGAGAACCGCUCCCAGAUACCACUCGCCCCAAUUACACCCUCCCAGUCGGUGGCACUGGCACUGAGGUUUCGCACCGUGCCUCUCGCCCGUGUCUCCCUGCGAGGACAUGUGUGCAGCCCUCCUGGCUUCCCUCCAGAUGUGGCCCCUCCGGAGCAAGGCUCCCUGGAAAUUUUUGUGCCUCUUGUGGACUUGGAGCUGGGGGGAGAGGGUGAAGGAGCGCUCCGAGCGCCCCGUCAUCAGGGCAGGCUGGGGCUUGCUGGCUGCACUUAGACAGGAUUGGCCUGGUCACCCAAUUCAUCUCUGCCAUGGUCACACGCUCUUAUUAGGUGAUUAUGUUUUGGUAUCUUCAUUGUGUAAUUAGUCACAUGCUCAUAAACAAUGUAAAUAACCCCUAAUGAGUUAGUAAAUUAAUCAGUCAGUAAUGACUUCCAAUGUCAGGAACCAUCCACAAAGAACAGCAGCUACUUUCAAGUUUUCUUUCUUUUCUUCUUCUGUGUUGCAAAACCAUCUAGCAUUUUUUUUCCCUAACGCUGCAGGCUAUUCGGCUCAUAAGCCAAUUGACUGGAGAGGAUUUACUCACCAAUUAAUCCAGAAAAUUUAGCCCCAUUGUUUCAUGUUACUGCUGAUUUUUAUUUAUUUAUUUAUUUUUAAACAGCUAUAUAGCAAGUUUUUC